UGGCCAAAUGGUCUAAGGUGCUAGAUUUAGACUCUAAUCACUUCAAUGGUGUGGGUUUGAAUCCCAC
rnacentral:tRNA from 1 species